GAUCUACUCCCUCCGUCCCAUAUGUCGCAACUUUGUCUAGAUAAGCAUUUAUCUAGACGCGUUUUAGUGUGUAGGUACAUACGUAUCUAGACAAAAUUGCGACACUUGAUAUGGGAUCGAGGGAGUAUAAU
rnacentral:pre_miRNA from 1 species